GUUCUUAUUCGCUGACAUUUGUUUUCUAAUUGCGUGAAAUUUGGUAAUUUCCUUAGUGUUUUCCUGGCCGACCUGUGCUGGUAUUGUAAUUAAGAGCUAAUACACCAUUCUCUGGUGAACUGCAGCUGCGGCCGAAUUUGAUUGUGUGCAUCAUCAUGCAGAUAUUUUGAAAUUUUGUGGACGCUUCUGCUGUGCUGCGUUCCUCCGCCCGUGUAUUGCUCCGCCCGUGUUUUAUAGUGUUGCGUUCCUGUUGCGCCUUUGCAUUAGUGUGUGCGUUGUGCUUUAGACACGUUGAAAUUGUUUCUAUGCUUCUGCUGUGCUGCGUACCUGCUUCACCCGUGUAUUAGAUUGCAGCGUUCCUGUUAAUAUAAACAUCGUCGUUUAAGUACAAAACCGCGUAACUGACAUUUGCUGCUAAAAAUUGGAUUUGCUCACACAAGUUCUUGCCUCAAUCCUUAUCCAUUCUUCCUGAAACAUACUAGCCAAAAAUGCGAUUGCUUUUUAAAAAAAGAUAAACCAUUUUGAAAUAUGAGUGUUUUCACUCUCUAGAAAAUAAUUUAUGCAACCUCGCUGGGUUUGCUUUAUCUUGAUACGCGGUUUUGCAUUUUAUUGAUACACGGUUUUGUACUUUAAACG
rnacentral:lncRNA from 1 species